AUUGCAACUGGGGCUACUCACCAAGUAGAGCUCUACAGGCGAUCCUCCUCAUACCAUCUGUGCCUCCAGAUCAGGGCUCAAAUGCCUUAUUUCACAAUUAAAAAAAAACAGAGGUGUGACCAGUGCAGUUCACAAGAGUUUAAGUAUCUCCCAAUUUGUACCAAAAAGGUUCAUUUGUCUUGACAGUUCAUUUGUAUUUGCAACUAUAUCUUCCUCCAACCACUUCCCACGAUCGUGCUAUUUAAACUUUCAUCUUACCAAAAAUUAGACUUUCAGUUCUUGUUAACAAUGCACAAUAGAUCUGAACUUGAAAAUAUUACAAAAUUCUUGCAAAAGCUUCAAAUACAACACAAAAAGUGUCCGUUCUUAUUUUUAAUAAAUUGAAAAAAUCUUUUUUUUUUUUUCACUAAAAUAGUUUCCCCGCCCUUCCAAAAAAUUCUGAACUGAGUCUAACUCAUCUACAGAUAGCAAAGUGCCCCCGGCGCAGCCAUCCAUGCUGCACCAUCAAAGUGGGAACAAAACCAGUCAGUCUCGGAGAAAGGCUCUUUUCCUAUCACCACUCCUGUGUCCCUCACUUCCCCGAGCUGCCUUAUGGUUCUUGCUUUAUGUAGUAGCUGGCAGAUCCGUUGCUCUCCUGAUCAGACGCUCCUUGCAGGAAGCUGUACUCCUCUCCAUCCAGCAGCUCCUCCUUCAGCUGCAAUGAAGUCAUUUUCUUAUGUCCUUUGUACUGCUGUGAUUUUGAUUUUUUCUUCUGUUUUGAUGAACUUGACUGGUUAUCUCUUGAUGACUGUGGUGCUGGAGGCUGCAGCUGAUAUCCAGUUAGCUGACACCAUCCCACCGGGUAGAGGUCUGGGGACUCGCAGUCCACCCACUGAUCAUAC
rnacentral:lncRNA from 1 species